UACGAAGGGGGCUAGCGUUGCUCGGAAUCACUGGGCGUAAAGCGCACGUAGGCGGCUUCUUAAGUCAGGGGUGAAAUCCUGGAGCUCAACUCCAGAACUGCCUUUGAUACUGAGGAGCUUGAGUCCGGGAGAGGUGAGUGGAACUGCGAGUGUAGAGGUGAAAAUUCGUAGAUAUUCGCAAGAACACCAGUGGCGAAGGCGGCUCACUGGCCCGGUACUGACGCUGAGGUGCGAAAGCGUGGGGAGCAAACA
rnacentral:rRNA from 1 species